ensembl:lncRNA
GUAAUGACAUCAGUCAAUCAGGAGCCCGGAGACAGAAGCUCCUCCUUCCUUCUCCCCGUCCCCGGGGGCGGGCUACUGGGGUGCAGAGAAGGGGUGGCGGUGCCGCGCGUGCGCAGGGCUGUGUUUCCUUCUAGCACCUUAAGGUGUGAAUCUGUGGUGGCUUCAGAUGAUCUGAAUCCCAGCGUCUCCCACCCCCUCUUCGCAUUCCCAGCUCCACACGUUCCCAUCUCUGUUCCCGUGCCUGCCAUGAGCACUUGUGCUGCCUCUCGCUUCAGCAGCGAGGCAUUGCCAACAAGGCUUAUUUGGGCUGUACAGCACGACUGGCGGCACAGAUGAGAACUGCCUGGAGCUGGGGAGAGAGGCAGGGAAGGAGAGAUGAAGGAAGCUUACACAAAAUAAGAUUAAAUUUGCUUGAUUUUGCCUGAUGCAGUUUAUGUCAGUUGUUAAGUUUUGAUAUUCAUUUAUUUAUGAACCAAUUAGAAUGUUGUGGAUUUCUCUGGAAUAUGGAUCUUGUAUCAAAAUGAAUAAGGUCAACAUGCU